UACGUGGGGGGCGAGCGUUGUCCGGAAUCAUUGGGCGUAAAGCGCGUGUAGGCGGCCCGGUAAGUCCGCUGUGAAAACUCGAGGCUCAACCUCGAGACGUCGAUGGAAACCAUCUGGCUAGAGUCCGGAAGAGGAGAGUGGAAUUCCUGGUGUAGCGGUGAAAUGCGCAGAUAUCAGGAAGAACACCUAUGGCGAAGGCAGCUCUCUGGGACGGUACUGACGCUGAGACGCGAAAGCGUGGGGAGCGAACAGG
rnacentral:rRNA from 1 species